GGAGGAAAGUAGGGGAUCGUAAGACCUUGUGCUUUUGGAGCGGCCGAUGCCUGAUUAGCUAGUUGGUGGGGUAAAGGCCUACCAAGGCGUCGAUCAGUAGUUGGUCUGAGAGGACGACCAGCCACACUGGGACUGAGACACGGCCCAGACUCCUACGGGAGGCAGCAGUGGGGAAUUUUGGACAAUGGGCGCAAGCCUGAUCCAGCAAUGCCGCGUGAGUGAAGAAGGCCUUCGGGUUGUAAAGCUCUUUCAGUCGAGAAGAAAAGGUUGCGACUAAUAAUCGCAAUUCAUGACGGUACCGACAGAAGAAGCACCGGCUAACUACGUGCCAGCAGCCGCGGUAAUACGUAGGGUGCAAGCGUUAAUCGGAAUUACUGGGCGUAAAGGGUGCGCAGGCGGCUCUGUAAGUCAGAUGUGAAAUCCCCGGGCUUAACCUGGGAACUGCGUUUGAAACUACAAAGCUAG
rnacentral:rRNA from 1 species